AGUAUUCAAUCAUGGAUACCUACAUUUUCACCCCAAUUAACAGAGCUUCCAGAUGAAGGCUGGAUAAGGACGAUGAAACGAUUCCUUACUGCUACGACGACAAUCAGCUUUACUGUGCCAGUCUAACAGUAAGUUGACUGAAGUUGAAAUUACUAAAUCUGAACUUCUAUAGGUUCAAUAUGGUACCAAUGAUGAUAAAUGUGGAGUCUUUGGGGACGACUACAAAAACUCCAUUCCAAGAAGCAACGAAAACGGAGUUGUAGAAUGAAGAUUGCUUCCAGUCUCUGACUCUUGAGGGCGGCUCUGUGUCUCAAAAUGUUGCGGCAGGACAAUUCAACAUUACCAGCUACGUUCAAUUGCCCAACGAUAUGGUUUGUGAUAAAUCAAAAUAUUGUUAGGUAACAAUUGGGGUAGUUGAGGCCAAGAUACGUCUGUAGAAUGAUGCGGUCCGCGGGAAACUUUCCGCUCAUGUGCAAACAUCAGCAUUUUAAGUUGAUAUUUUGGGCUACAAGCACGGCCAUUAAGAGCAGCUAUUUCACACGGGCCACUCUGCAGCGCUUCGUAGUGGCAUUGCUGAGAAGCGCGUUUUGAAGGUACAUUGAUUUAUAUGGAAGUAUUCACAAGGGCGCGACCGAGACCCGACCACCGAUUUAGCAGCGCUUUUGUGGCGUUCAGUGGCUGACUACCGCCUAGAAGCGCGUCAAAAAGAAGCGCCACUGAUAGCGAUACAUUGGUUCAAAUGCUGGCGUUUGAAGCAGUGCGAAAAGGUUCUAAAUAAUGCAUAGUUUUGUUGCCCAUCUGGUGAAUGAACCAGCUUUGAUUUCUUUCAUGCUGUCUACAUACUUAGGCGAAUGACAUUGUUUUACUUUCAAUGUGCAAGCAGUCUCUGAGGUUACUCAAGAUUGUUCACAGAAUUACGGUGUUAAUUAAAAAAAAGCAUAUCUUAACAAAAAUUUAUUAUACAUAGAUUAAUCAAUAAAAAUGUUUACUUUAA